CCUACGGGUGGCUGCAGUAGGGAAUCUUCCACAAUGGGCGACAGCCUGAUGGAGCAACGCCGCGUGGGUGAAGAAGGUCUUCGGAUCGUACAACCCUGUUGUUAGAGAAGAAAGUGCGUGAGAGUAACUGUUCACGUUUCGACGGUAUCUAACCAGACAGCCACGGCUAACUACGUGCCAGCAGCCGCGGUAAUCCGGGGGAUGCAAGCGUUAUCCGGAUUUAUUGGGUUUAAGGGGUGCGUAGGCUGUGAGGUAAGUCAGCGGUGAAAUGCCCCCGCUCAACGGGGUGAAGGGCCAUUGAUACUGCCUUGCUGGAAUGCGGAUGCCGUGGGAGGAAUGUGUGGUGUAGCGGUGAAAUGCAUAGAUAUCACACAGAACACCGAGUGCGAAGGCAUCUCACGAAUCCGCGAUUGACGCUGAUGCACGAAAGCGUGGGUAUCAAACAGGAUUAGAUACCCUAGUAGUC
rnacentral:rRNA from 1 species